GUAGACAUAGUUUAAUAAAAACAUUAGAUUGUGAUUCUAAAAAUAGGGGUUGAAGCCCCCUUGCCCACC
rnacentral:tRNA from 1 species